rnacentral:rRNA from 1 species
AUUGAACGCUGGCGGCAGGCCUAAUACAUGCAAGUCGAGCGGACGAAGGGAGCUUUCUCCUGGAUUCCGCGGCGGACGGGCGAGUAAUUCCCAGGAAUCUGCCUUGUAGUUGGGGCUAACGUCAGGUCACGGGCGCUAAUCUCGCACCCGUUCUUAUGGUGAAAGUGGUGGAUCUUUGGACCACACGGUUUUUGAUGAGCCUAGGUCGGUUUUGCUCGUUGGAUGGGUAAGGUCCUACGAUGGCGACUUUCCGUGACUGGUCUGAGUGGCUGACCAGUCACACUGAAACUGAGACACGGUCCAAACUCCUACGGGAGGCAGCAGUGGGGAAUAUUGGACAAUGGGCGAAAGCCUGAUCCAGACAUGCCGCGUGUGUGAAGAAGGUCUUCGGAUUGUAAAGCACUUUAAGUUGGGAGAAAAAGCAGUAAGUUAAUACCUUGCUGUUUUGACGUUCCCAACAGGAUAAGCACCGGCUAACUUCGU